GACGAACGCUGGCGGCGUGCUUAACACAUGCAAGUCGAACGUGAUUUUUGUGGAAAUUCUUUCGGGAAUGGAAAUGAAAUGAAAGUGGCGAACGGGUGAGUAACACGUGAGCAACCUACCUUACACAGGGGGAUAGCCGUUGGAAACGACGAUUAAUACCGCAUGAGACCACAGAAUCGCAUGAUAUAGGGGUCAAAGAUUUAUCGGUGUAAGAAGGGCUCGCGUCUGAUUAGCUAGUUGGAAGGGUAAAGGCCUACCAAGGCGACGAUCAGUAGCCGGUCUGAGAGGAUGAACGGCCACAUUGGAACUGAGACACGGUCCAAACUCCUACGGGAGGCAGCAGUGGGGAAUAUUGCACAAUGGGGGGAACCCUGAUGCAGCGACGCCGUGUGAGCGAAGAAGGUUUUCGAAUCGUAAAGCUCUGUCCUAUGAGAAGAUAAUGACGGUAUCAUAGGAGGAAGCCCCGGCUAAAUACGUG
rnacentral:rRNA from 1 species